ACUCCUACGGGAGGCAGCAGUGGGGAAUUUUGGACAAUGGGGGCAACCCUGAUCCAGCCAUGCCGCGUGAGUGAAGAAGGCCUUCGGGUUGUAAAGCUCUUUCAGCCGGGAAGAAAAUGCAUGGGUUAAUACCCUGUGCAGAUGACGUACCGAAUAAGAGCG
rnacentral:rRNA from 1 species